GCCCCUACCAACCUGCCUUCCAUUGAGGACCUGUAUACUGCACGAGUCAAAAAGGGCUGUGAAAAUAUUUACAGACCCCUCGCAUCCUGGACAUAAACUGUUUCAACUCCUACCCUCAAAACGACGCUAUAGAGCACUGCACACCAGAACAACUAGACAUAAGAACAGUUUUUUCCCAAAAGCCAUCACUCUGCUUAACAAAUAAUUCCUUCAACAUUGUCAAACUAUUUACUAAGUCUGCACUACUAUUAAUCUUCUCAUCAUUCCUAUCACCCAGCUCCUUCCACUUAUGACUGUAUGACUAACUUUGUUGUUUGUAUCCUUACAAUUUAUAUUGACUGUUUCCUAAUAUGAUUUGAUUGCUUAUUUGUACCCUAUGAUUAUCAUUAAGUAUUGUACCUUAUGAUUCUUGAUGCACGUAUCUUUUCUUUUAUGUACACUGAGAGCAUAUGCACCAAGACAAAUUCUAUUCUAUUCUAUAAAGGCACACUCAUGCACACCUAGGCACAUUCAUGCAUGCACACCAACUUGGCAUGCAGUGCACCAGAAAUGCUAACUUACAAUUCUCACUGGAUAUCAACUCAUUUAGAAGACACUGGAUGGAAAUUUGGAAGUGAGCAAAUAAUCCCUACAACAGCAACAGGCCUGGUUUGCUGUCUGGAUGUUCACAUUUUGAAUGUUUCAAUUAAACUCAGAUUUAUUCCACUGUUUCCAGCAUAUGGACAAAGCCAAUGGUGGGACAUGGUGGCUCAGCGGCUAAGACGUUGAGCUUGUCGAUCGAAAGGUCGGCAGUUCAGUAGUUUGAAUCCCUAGUGCUGCCGUGUAACGGGGUGAGCCUCGCUUCUGCCAACCUAGCAGUUCGAAAGCACAUAAAAAAUGCAAGUAGAAAAAAUAGGGACCACCUUUGGUGGGAAGGUAACAGUGUUCUGUGCACCUUUGGGGUUUAGUCAUGCUGGCCACAUGACCACGGAGACGUCUUCAGACAGCACUUCAGAUGUCUUUGGCUUUGAAACAGAAAUGAGCACCGCCCCCUAGAGUUGGGAAUGACUAACACAUAUGUGCGAGGGGAACCUUUACCUUUACAGUGGAAAUGAGAUGUCUAAACAUUGUUUAAUUCAACCAGAGUCUAUAAAAGGUGCACCUAUUUAGCAGAUCUUCUGAAAUUAUAGGCAUACUUUAAAAAAGGGAAGAGAGAAAAACUAUGGUUGCUUCUUCAGUUCCUUUUAAUUCAGUGGGACAGAUGACCAAUAGAUUCAGGGCAACAUAGUUAAUACUUCACAUCAUUAAUUGGGAGCAUCUAAGGCUGUAUGGAGGUUUAAGGGACUCUAUAAAGGGGAUGAGGUAAAGCCACACAUCGCAGGUCCCUGGAUGGCUGGAAAAGGUCCAGGGUCACCAGGAGGGAAACUGCAUGCCGGCGGCCCAGGACCACUUUCAGGGAGGAAGCAGGACAAUGAACCGAGUGUGGAUUUCUCGAGAACACUGGCCACUUGGAGGAACGGUGCUGUGCUAACAGAUCCCGUGAUAUCGUUUAAUUGGGUUCUUAAUGGGGCCUCGAAUUCACACAUUACUCUUGACAGAUAAAAAUAAACUAUAAUAUCCCAAUCACAGUUUGGUUCAAUUAACCUAACUGGCUGACCGGCAUUCGCAAAAGAAUCCGGCUUCCAGUCGUGCGAGGAAAGCUCAACUCGAGCCUCCCGCAGCCGAGAGGCGGUCUCUGCACUUGGAGGCUUCAUUAUGGCGAUCAGCUGCCGGAGCGGACUUGCUUGCCAUAAACGUGUUUAAUCGCAACCUCUCAAACCUCCAGUGGUUGCGAAUUCCAAAAGUUCAUUCUCCCCCGCCGGCCUAGGAAGCCUUCGGUGCACCGUCUUCCCCGAGGCUCCCUAGGCUGCAACUUCCUCCCUCGGGGAAGGCGAGGGGGCGGCCCCGGGCUGAUCUCCAGCCCGGGGGGCGGAUCCGGGAGGCGGUCUCGCGGGCCGGGCAUUAGAGCGCAGGUGGCUCCGGCUGGGAGCUGCAGUCGCCUGCGGUGGCGCUUCGCUGCCUCCGUGCGUUGAGGCGGACGGGAGGUGCCGAUCGCGGCUUGGGAGCCCCCUUCUCCGCCAGUUGGGCGCCCCGGCGAAUCUCAAGGACUCGCGCCUUCGCGGAGCACGUCCCCCGACUCGGGGUGCGACCGAAGCAUGGAGAGUCCGCGCCUUCUCCGCGCCGCCGCUUCUGCGGCGUGGCCGGGCAGCCGGCUCUACGGCGCGCCACCCGGCGCGGGGCCCCGCUGACCAAUUUUCCUCUCGGGAACGCGAAAGGAGCCGGAGCAGGAGAACGCGCGUCGGCUGCCCUUUCUGCCCUCGGCCGGGCCCGAGCCAAGCCUGCUCUCCGCCGCGCGGGAUCUUUCAGAAAGGACUUUUGAUAUUCUGCCGAGGGCGAAGUUAAGGCGAAACUUUUCCCGCUGCGGUGGGGGAUCCAGCCUUGCUCUCUGCGCUGAACUUCCAAGCGGAGAGCGAAGGAGCGGGGCCCUCCAGGCUGGCUUGUUAUGGAGUUCGCCUGUUUUUUGUUUUGUCGGGUUUUAUCCCCCGCACGCACCUGUCUUGCUGGAGCAGCGAAUCCUCCGCGGAAUUGGCAGCAACCGCUCUUGCCAUGGGAAGACUUGGGCUCCUUGGGAGGGGAAAGAAGGCCGGUCGGGAGGCCCUUGGACUUUCUCCAGGACCGCGCCACCUGUGAGCCCAGCGCCUCCCGCUUUGGAAUCAGCCGGAGGGGUUAAAGCGAAGGCAGCAGCCGCCCGGGAGGAGGCAAGGAGGGUGGCCUGAUACGCGCCCUCUGCUUGGCGCGGCCCCUGCGCCUUGCCAUGGCCGGAUUUCGCCCUGGUCUGAGAGGUACCUUGCUGAGCCUUCUGCUGUUCGUGCUGAAGGCUCCGGUUCCUGCUGCGGCUGCAUCCAAGGCCAUCGUCUGCCAGGAGAUCACCGUGCCCAUGUGCAAAGGCAUUGGCUACAACCUGACUUACAUGCCGAACCAGUUCAACCACGAUACCCAAGAUGAAGCUGGCCUGGAAGUGCACCAGUUCUGGCCCCUGGUGGAGAUUCAGUGCUCUCUGGAUCUGAAAUUUUUCCUCUGCAGCAUGUACACUCCCAUCUGCCUGCUGGACUACGCCAAGCCUCUGCCGCCCUGCCGGUCAGUGUGUGAGAGGGCCAAAGCCGGGUGCUCUCCUUUGAUGAGGCAGUACGGCUUUGCCUGGCCAGAAAGGAUGAACUGUGAUAAGCUGCCCAUUCCAGGAGACACGGAGAUGCUGUGCAUGGAUCACAACCAGACGGAGGCCACAACCUUGCCCCCAUUUACUAAGCCCACCCGCUCUUCUAAAGGAAUCCACAAAAAUCUCACCCCUCUAACCAGUAGUGACUGCAAGAGAGUAUGCGCCUGCAAAGAGCCCUUAGUCUUCAUCUCCCAAGAAACUCACCCGCUCUACAACAAGAUCGAGACUGGCCAUGUGCGCAAUUGCGCAAUUCCUUGCUUCCAGCCCUAUUUUACCCAAGAUGAAAAAACUUUUGCUACCUUCUGGAUUGGCUUGUGGUCCGUCCUUUGUUUCAUCUCCACUUUCACCACAGUGGCCACCUUUCUGAUUGACAUGGAAAGGUUCAGGUACCCGGAGCGCCCCAUCAUCUUUUUAUCAGCCUGUUAUCUCUUUGUAUCCAUUGGCUACAUCAUCCGGCUGAUUGUGGGCCAUGCUAAUGUGGCCUGCAACAAAGAUUACAACCACAUACACUAUGAAACCACCGGGCCUGCCCUCUGCACUGUGGUGUUCCUCCUGAUCUAUUUCUUUGGCAUGGCAAGUUCCAUCUGGUGGGUCAUCUUGUCUCUUACCUGGUUUCUGGCAGCUGGGAUGAAGUGGGGGAAUGAAGCCAUUGCUAGCUACUCCCAGUAUUUUCACAUGGCAGCCUGGCUUCUUCCAAGCAUAAAAUCCAUUACUGUUUUGGCCCUGAGCUCAGUCGAUGGGGACCCGGUAGCUGGGAUCUGCUAUGUGGGUAAUCAGAAUGUGGACAAGCUGCGGGGUUUUGUCCUCGCUCCGCUGGUGGUGUAUCUUUUCACCGGGACCAUGUUUCUGCUGGCUGGUUUUGUAUCCCUCUUCCGAAUUCGGAAUGUGAUUAAACAAGGGGGCACAAAGACGGACAAGCUGGAGAAGCUGAUGAUUCGUAUCGGGAUCUUCACCGUUCUUUACACUGUCCCAGCUACCAUUGUGGUGGCUUGCUAUAUCUACGAGCAGCACUACAGGGAGAAAUGGGAGAUGGCACAGAAUUGCUCUUGCCCUGGGGACAAGUCCAGACCGAAGCCUGACUAUGCUGUUUUUAUGCUCAAGUACUUCAUGUGCCUGGUGGUGGGCAUCACCUCUGGGGUCUGGAUUUGGUCAGGGAAGACGCUGGAGUCUUGGAAGCAGUUCACAGGUCGAUGCUGCAGGGGAGGGAAGCCCGUGAGCGCCACCAUGUACAGUGAGGCCAACAUAGCGCUGACAGGCCGGACUGGGCUUGCCACUUCUGCUUCCUACCACAAACAGGUUCCCCUGUCCCAUGUGUGAAAAAGCAUCUUGCUUGGUCAAUAGGGGGGCAGGUAAGCACCAUUCAUCCUAGGGCCCAUCUGGAGCCUUUCUGGAGUUUUGUUCAUUGUGGGCCUCCCGGUUUGCCUCUGGUCUAAAAAAAGGGAGGGGACGGAGAAGAUCUGGCCAAAGAUUGACUGCAGAGUUGGUAGAAAGUCACUGUGCCCUUGUGCAAGGCGUGUUUAGAUUUAGGUUUGGGGUUAACUGUGUGAUAGGAAUUGGGCAAAUUCAUUUCUGGACAAGAGUUUGCUUUUUGAUAAUGAAAAAAAAAUCCAUGGAGGCUGCAAGACAGUGAAAGUACAGGAUCAGGGAGGAUGAGUUGGUCAGUUCUGCACGUAUUAUAUGAACUAUUCCAGCUGGCUUCUCCAACUGCAAGCUGUAACUCUUCCCUUGAAUCAACUGCCCAGAAGAGGAGACCUGCAUUUUCUCAGCUGUGUGACACUAUAAAGACCACGGAGCUUAUUUAUGAACUUGAGUCCACCUCAUCAGAUGCUCUCCCACAGUUUAAGCUUGGCGGACUAUGUACUUACAACCAAGUAUCCCUUUUCAUUUGCAUGAUGAAUUCUAAACCACAGAAGCUUAUACAAUCUUUUUAUUUUGUUUUUUUCCUUUCUGCAUCAGACUCUUUAUGGCUCUUAUUUCAUUAAAUAAUUUAAAAGAUCUUUAAUAUAACCCAAAUAAUUACUGAUAAAAUAAUUACAAGGUUUUUGAAGAUUACUUGAGUGAAAGAACUGAAAUCCUAAAGACUAACCUAAUUGGGGCCUAGAUGCUGCUUUCUGAGCUAGAAAUUUCCCAAAUCAGGCAAGUGGCUGACUCUGAAGGAGCUUUUCCAUAGGUAAAUUAGGGACUUUUAAGUGCUUGCAGGAUUUAUAUAUCUUCUUUAGUUCCUGAGAAGAUCCCAACUUGGAUUAAUUUGCAGCAACCCUGUUAACCACAUUGACCUUGACUUCAGUCACCUUCUGAAUGUCAUAUCCAAAGAAGGAAAUAUUAAUCUAGUACUACUUUUCAGUGAUCACACUGCACAUAUACCAACCUUUAUUACUCCUCUGAUAACAAAUUAAGCCUGGAUGAUGCGGGUUAAGUAGAAAAUCCUGCCUUGAAGGGAGAGAAGGGAUAUUGUUGGCUUUUUCCAGCACAUGGUUCUGACAUUGUGUUGCCUACUCCCCAGGGCACAGCAGAAAAUGAUGUAUUAGGCACAUGGAUCUGAACGCUUGGUAUGGAAUAGAAGACCAUUCUAGGCCAUACGGCAUUAAAAACAUGUAGAAGUCACAUUUGAGUUUAGCUUUAUGAUACAAGUCCUGGACCCAUUACCUCUGUGUUUUAUAAAUUUUUAUUCUGUAUUCAAUAGGUUGACUUUUCAAGAAAGAUUGUGAAGAGCAGUGUCACUAAUUAAAUAACUUGGAGAGUUUCAUCUUUAGACUUUCAAUUUUGAACAGCAAAGCUUUGUUCACCUUGACAGAUGGUCUAAAACCUGGUAGCACUAAAUAGUUAAAUCACAUAUAGAAUUGCAUCAGACAAUUAAGUGGAUUAAAUCACUAAAUUAUAUUGGUGACUUUACAUUAGAAAUGCUUUAAGCAACUCUAUUGCAUUAUUUAGAUUUAUUUCUUACAAAUGGGAAUGUAUAGUGGAGAAGAUGCUUUCUUAAAACACGUACUUCAGAUUCACUGCCUUCAGAUUCACUUCCUUAAGAGAUAGGAAAAGCUCCAGCUUAAUGAUUCUGGAGUAGUAUAAACUCAUACUUAAAAGAAAAUCAGAAUUUACUCUCAUAGCCAAAGUUAUGACUUGAAUAAUAUUUACUUCAUUUAAAGUAACAAAAUUCAUUUAUUCUAUCCACUAGUUAUUUAGUGUCUCAAUCAAAACACAGACAUUUGGGAAAUCUGGAAUUUCAACUGAAAUGACUUACCUAUAGUUGUUCCAUGUGUUAUGUGGACACGCAGGACACUCAGCCUAGGACAGUUGACUUCAGUCUGAACUGUCUGAAAAGAUCUGCAUCAAAACUGCCCAAGAUUCACUUUUGUUCCUCAGGAACGUUAUGACACUGCCCACCCAUACUUAAUUGAGGGUUGCAAGCAAAAAAAUUAAAUCUGGCUGCAUUAUAUAUAAUAAAAAAGGGGUUGGAGAGUAUUCCUAGCAUGCAUUUAACACAACUUUUUCCCCCUUUAAUCCACUCUGAUAUAAAAGGAGUUGGGGAAGAUGCCAUUCACUCAAGUAUAAAAUUAAGUAUCUUGCUACACUUACUUGAAUUAGAUCAGAUGUGCCUGAGUUAUGAGUUAUGCCUGGUAGGGGCAACUGCUCUAUUGCAAUGUCUUGCCAAAAAUCUGAAAUAGCCCUCUUAGCAUGUCAUGUGAAUGGCAGAAACAUUUUUUCCACAGGGCCCUGCUAGGCUGCUCACCAGGGACCACUUUAUCAUCACCAUCCAACUGCCCCAGUUUUAUUUGCAGAUACCCCACCCACUGCUUGUCGGUAUCCCCACCCCAGUACAUAGUUUUAAUGGAAGAAAAUGGUUGCCUGCUGAUGUAUUAACAUCUACCAUCUAUUUUGAAGAAAAGCUAGAGGGCUGGAGCAACCUCAGAAAUAUCCUUUUCUGUCUGUUGGGUAUUUGGUGAUGCCCCAUAAAAGCAUUGCAGUAAGCUUGUGAGUGCACGAGCCUCCUUCUGUGGCAGAUGUUUUUGGAAAAAAACAUUUUCCUAUUCAGAUAGGCUUUUUGGCCCCCAAAGCUAAAGUACUAGAAAACAGAGUGAGUUCUAAUUCCAGAUGGGAACGUUUGCUUGAAAAUAACUAAUCAUAGAUGUUUAAUAAUAGAACCAUAUAAGUACAGUUAGAGCAGUCCUGAGCUUUCUUCCAGUAAGGCCACUCAUGAGGAUGAUAUGAUCCAUGGUGGUAUCCUGGAUAACCUCAGACUGACAGGGAAAGGCUACAACAAAACUGUAACAGCAUUUGAAGUCAACUUAAAGUUUUGCACCCUUUUCCACCAGGCAGUGAAUUUGGGAACAGAACACAUGUCCAUCUAUAGAAUUUAAUGGCUGAUGGGGGCUUUGGUGAAUCAAAGUUAUAUGUUUAGUGUUUUAGGAACAUUACUGCUUCCUAUAAGCAAGCUGAAAAGGCAUGGCUUAAAAAAAGAAAACUAACAAGCAGUAUGCAAAGCUUUAUUUCAGUGUAGAAAACUGUCAAGUACGUUAUUAGCUUUGAAAAUAAAGGUUCUUCUAAGCAAGGUGUUACAGGGUUUCUUUAAUUAAGGUAUUGUGUACUCUAAUAGAAGAUCAAAUUACAUGUAGCAUAAUAUGUAAAUAGCUGUAUAAUUGUCUUCAAAGAAAUAUGUUUGUAUAUACAGAAUCUCUAGUGUGAAUAUCAGAUAUGGGUUGGGAGAAGAUUGUACAUUUUUGUCAAAACAAUUUGAAAGCUGUAGAUAACAGGAUGAAAGUUUAGGGCAUUAAAUCAUUGUAUUUAAAGUUGGAUUCAUGCUUAGGUCAUACUGCUUUUUCAAUUGUGCCUUGUGGAAAUGAAUUUUUUACAUACUACUUGCAGUAUGAUUAUGUACGUGCCAAAAGGUUCAACAGUGACAUAAAAAUAUGUAAAAAGCUUUUUAAAAAAAGAAACGGACUUCAGUCUGUCAAUAAACAUUUAAACAUGA